AUUGAACGCUGGCGGCAUGCCUUACACAUGCAAGUCGAACGGCAGCACGGGGGCAACCCUGGUGGCGAGUGGCGAACGGGUGAGUAAUGCAUCGGAACGUGCCCAGUAGUGGGGGAUAACCAGUCGAAGACUGGCUAAUACCGCAUACGACCUAAGGGUGAAAGCGGGGGACCGUAAGGCCUCGCGCUAUUGGAGCGGCCGAUGUCUGAUUAGCUAGUUGGCGGGGUAAGAGCCCACCAAGGCGACGAUCAGUAGCUGGUCUGAGAGGACGACCGGCCACACUGGGACUGAGACACGGCCCAGACUCCUACGGGAGGCAGCAGUGGGGAAUUUUGGACAAUGGGCGCAAGCCUGAUCCAGCCAUGCCGCGUGCGGGAAGAAGGCCUUCGGGUUGUAAACCGCUUUUGGCAGGAACGAAACGGCGCAGGCCAAUACCUUGCGCUAAUGACGGUACCUGCAGAAUAAGCACCGGCUAACUACGUGCCAGCCGCCGCCGUAAUAC
rnacentral:rRNA from 1 species